rnacentral:lncRNA from 1 species
AUGGGAGACGUGGAUUGGGUUCCUAGAUCUUGGCUUCAACAGUCCCGGUCUUGUGUGCUAUCUGGGGAUUGUACUAGUGGAUGGAGGCAUCUCUCUCUCUCUCUCUCUCAAAUUAAUUAUUUUUUAAAUUGUCAGCAGGAUUGCAUACCUGUGGAGGCUCCAGUCUGUGCAUCGUCAUAUCCAGCAGAGGCAGUGUCAACUAUGAAAGUGGUCGGGGGCAUGGAGAUACUCAUGGUCUAGUGAGAAGAAGAAUGUGACUGUGACAUGCCAAGCAAGUGUUUCAGGCCAUUGUGCCAAGUAACACGGUGCAGCAGAACCCAGAGCUACAAACUGAGCCGCUCUCCUAAUCUCAGCACCACGUUCUGCAGACCACCCAGCCUCACCAACCAACACCAAACAUCCCGACCUUGACCACGACAUGGUGAGUGUGUGGUGAAGAGGUAACAUGCACGUGGUGGGACUGACAUUUUCUCAGCGUGAUUUAGAUCUGAACUUCCUCUGAAGCCAAAACAAGGAGGAAAAUGUGACCCAUUGCAAACAUCGCAAGAUCCAAAAGGCAAAAUCAAAGGGUUUGGGGAGGAAAGUGUGACAAUUUCAUGAGCUCGAGAUCAGAGCCUGAAAGAAAAUCCUCCUUAUGGGAGUGAGUGUUUGCCUUAGCACUUCAGAUGUCUGUUAGGAUGCACGCAUCCCAUGUCAGAGUCUACGGGUUCAAGUCUUGGGUUCUGCUGCAGAUUUCAGCUUCCUGUUACUGUGCACCCUGUGUGGUAGCGAGUGGUGACUCAAGUAGUUGGGUCCCUGCCACCCGCGUGGUGCACGUAGACUUAGUCCCCAGCUCCCGGCUUUAACCCAGCCCAGUCCUAGCCAUUGUGGGCAUUUGCAAAGGAAAUCAAUAGACAGGAGUCCCCUCUGUGGAUAUGUCUGUCUUUCUGCCACUUUCUAUCUCCCUGCCUCACAAAUAGAUAUUUUUGAAAAUAAAAUAUUUUGUUAUUAUAAUAAAAUCA